rnacentral:tRNA from 1 species
GGGGGUAUAUCUCAGUGGUAUAGUGUAUGCUUACCAUGUACGAGGUCCUGGGUUCAAUUCCCAGUACCUCUG